CACGGACACGCCCUUCAACGAAAACUCAAGAUCUUCGCAAUUUAACAUCGCAAAGGCCUUUAGAUUAGGCAUACCAAAUUUGGUGUUGAUCUGAAUAAAUCUCUAGGAGGAGUUCGUUAAAAUACAAGGCAUGCAAAUGACAAAAAUGAUGCAAAAUUUGCUCAUAAAAUUAAAAAUAACCAACUUCCUGUUGGGUUUCGGAUAUUGCUCCAAGAGUCUUUUUUGUAGGUACUGAUGCUUUACAUAUGUGUGCCAAUUUUCGUGCAUGUACGUGAAACACAGCUGGAGGGCUGUUGAUUUUUUUACGAUAGGUGGCGCUGUCGAGCCAUUUUGCCACACCCUCUUCUGAAACCUAUAUCAGACGUAAAUUUUCACCAGGUCUGACGCGUGUGCAAAGUUUCAGGACUUUUCG
ensembl:lncRNA